rnacentral:rRNA from 1 species
AUUGAACGCUGGCGGCAGGCCUAACACAUGCAAGUCGAGCGAGCGGCGGACGGGUGAGUAAUGUAUGGGGGCUGCCCGAUAGAGGGGGAUAACUACUGGAAACGGUGGCUAAUACCGCAUACUGUCGGAUAACCCGUAUGGUAUUAGCUUGUUGGUAAGGUAAUGGCUUACCUAGGCGACGAUCGCUAGCUGGUCUGAGAGGAUGAUCAGCCACAUUGGGACGGGGACACGGCCCAGGCGCCUGCGGAGGCAGCAGUGGGGAAUGGUGCGCAAUGGGCGGGAGUCUGAUGCAGCCAGGCCGAGUGUAUGAAGAAGGCCCUAGGUUUGUAAAGUACUUUCAGUCGGGAGGCGUUACCGACAGAAGAAGCACCGGCUAACUCCGUGCCAGCAGCCGCGGUAAUAC